UACGUAGGGUGCGAGCGUUAAUCGGAAUUACUGGGCGUAAAGCGUGCGCAGGCGGUUUUGUAAGCCAGGUGUGAAAGCCCCGGGCUCAACCUGGGAAUGGCAUUUGGGACUGCAAGGCUGGAGUUUGGCAGAGGAGACUGGAAUUCCUGGUGUAGCAGUGAAAUGCGUAGAUAUCAGGAGGAAUACCGAUGGCGAAGGCAGGUCUCUGGGCUAUAACUGACGCUCAUGCACGAAAGCGUGGGGAGCAAACAGG
rnacentral:rRNA from 1 species